CGUAAAGCGCCGCGCGGGAGGCGGCGGGCGCCACGCAUUUCGCCCCAGCGUCCUCUCGCCGGCUCUUGGCGGCGGCUGCCGCGCCGAGGCGAGGCGGUGUCGCCUCCGUCCCCCUGGAGAUCCUCCGUAGCAGUUCCCGUUUGUGCCGGCUCACGCCGGAGCCGUGAAAAGGGCGGGCCGCUGUAAGGAAAGGCCCCGUCCCCGCUCCCCACCCUCCUGUCUUUGCCUCCUGCCCGCCCCUCCGCUGGCCCUGCGACUCGGCCAGCGGGCCUGCCGCCAUCUUCUCGGGCGCAGCUUGCCAGUGCCCAGCAUAAAUGAGAUCCCGGCUUGAAAAUAAGAAAGAAGGAUGAUGCUCUUUGGACAGCAAAAAUGAGCAGUAAGAAUUCCAGGAGCAAGAAGCAUGUUUCACUGAAUAGUCAAAGGCUGGGUAAGAUCAUCAUGAAGUGCCUACAACCUUUUCUUCUUUCACACAGUGCAUCCACGUGCAUUCUCAUUUGUCUGUGGAAUAAAUUUGCUAUAGUAAUACCAGAAGCAGUGCUAGCAUACUUGCACUUAGGGCCAAUCCCUGAUGUGGCACUUUUCUGGCAGUGGCUUACAGCUGAAGGAGAGCUAUGGUGAAUUCAGUAGCGCUGAAUGCCAUACCACUGUUUCUUAGCAGACUUUGAAGAAAUUAAGAAUUGUGGUAAGUAUAACAGGAAGUUUAAAAUUGGCACGUCUCAUAUUUUACAUAAAGAUUCAUAGAAGUGUGACAAUAUGUCUGCUUAUCUGUCCUAGCCAGAACAAGAGUCCUGUAGUGUCUGUGGUAAAGAAAUCAAUGAAAUUAAGAGGAAAAAAAAAAAAGGCUGUUUUUUAUUAAUGCAUUUGUUAAUAGCACAUUUAUCUGACCAUUUUCACAUCUAAAAAAAUAUUUCAGCUCUGUGACACAAUAGAUCUGGACUUUGUAUCAAGGCAAUUGUAGUGAAGACUGCAACAAUGGAGUGCUGUCUACUGCCUUGGUCAGGAUUGCUCUGGUCACUUCAGUGAGCCUCCUUUGACAAGACAUCUGAAGGUGCAAAGCUGUAAGAAAAAUGGAGUGUAACCACAGUCAUAAUCUGACUGUUCCAAGGCAGCAGGAGAAUAACUACCACAGAAGUUAGGCAAAACUGCAUCAUUUCGUUUUCAUUUGUGAAUAGUACUGAAGGUACUUUCUCAGUUUAUGAAGACAGCUACAUGCACCUUGCCUAAGACUAUUUUUUAUAGCUUACAUUAUUUGUGGAGAAGCAGACAGUUCCGCUGUCCUUGUAAAUAGAUUGAUUGCCAUGCCUUUCAGCUGGUGAUCCUCUCUGGAGAGAGCACCACUCUUCCACAGCCUUUCAUUAUCUCCCUCUACACUUCCUACAGAAUAGAAAACAUUUUUUUAAUCUUUUUUGCCAUCACAAUGCAGACCUCUGACCUACAGCCAAAGCCAUUUGUGUCUUUGCUGCUCCAGCUGCAGUGCGCCAAAGACCUCUUCUCUAUAUUGCUUUCUAGGCACUGCAGGGAAGACGGUCAUUAAAUUAGUCAGCAACGCUGGCUAUACUUGGCUCUGACUAAGUAUAUCCAACCCUUUCAUAGUGAAAAAAAAAAAAAAAUUUUUUUUUUUUUUCCUUACCGUCAGCUGAUGUGUAGGCGUAACAGAAUUUUGCAGCCCUAAAGGAUCUCCAAAGAUCCAGAUCUAGAGACAGCCUGGAACUGGUUGCUCCUGAGUGGUGAGCAAUGGCAAGGUCAGCUACUCCUGCUGCCAUGCUGGAGUUGGAAAGGGUGGUGACAGCACAUCAUGUUUUUAUGAAUGACCAUCCAUUUCCUGGACUAUGCCAUAGCCAAGGAGGCAGCGGAGCCACAGUAUUUCACUGCUGCCCCCUGUCUACUUCCUAUUUUGUUUUUGCCUAUAGCUACCUGCAAGCUUCUUGCAUCAUGAUUUUUAACUUCCUGAGUGACCUAGAAUUCCGUGCAAUGUUUGUGAGAAGUCAGCUGAGUUGGAAAAGAUGAUGAGAUGCAAUUGUAAAGAAAUGGUGAAUUCUCAGUAGCAAUUACACCAUGUUACUGUGGGAUGGUUACACUGAGAACUACAAACUAAUUUGCAGUUAGGUUGUGUCAUUUCCUCUUUUAAGACUGUGUGAGAGAGGACUCGACUUCUGGUCAUUUUCCCAAGUAUAGAGACCUGGUAUAAGUGACAGAGUGAAAGAAAUUUAGCCACCUAUUCAGAAAAAUAGAGGGCAGGCUUCCUGUGAAUCUUGAUAUUGCUCACUUGCUGUUGUUUCUAGUUAAAUACAUGUGCUAAGAGUUUAAUCCACACAACUGAUGUGAAUUGUAUUUCCCUUUUUUCCAAAGUUGGCUCAAAACACUCAGCUGCAGAGUCAUUCAUUCUUAUUUCUCAGCUCACUAUUUUAAGGGCUGAUGGAAUGUGGCAAAGAACAAGAUUCUUAAUGUCCAUGUCCUGGUAUUAGUGUUCCUGGGAGAAUUUCUGAGACCCUCUGAAAUCCAGCAUUGUAGGAACGUUGUGAGUGAAGGCUGGCCUUUUUCACUUGUAUUGUAUUCCAUAUAAAGACCAUGAGUGCUCUUCGAUCUACAGGUUUGCCAGACCAAGGCUUGCAUUCCUAACAGAUCUUGGGAAGGCACUAUUCACUUCAAAUUCUGUGGAAAUUCCACCUGAAUUCUAGCAAAACUGGAUCCGUGUUCCUGCUUUCAGGAUGCAUGUACCAAUUAUCUCAUAUAUUAACAAAAGAAAACUUGUUCUGUUGGGAUUUGGGGUGGUGGUGAUUUACUUUAAAGAAAGUACCAUGUUCAGUUCUGUGCUAUUUCCUGAACUCAAGUGUGUUUCAUAUUGUGUUGUACCAUCCUCUUUUAUUACUGCUUAUAUGAAUUAAUGUACAUUUGAGGAUCUCUCAUGUUAACUGUGGCACCUCAGCAUAGAACACCACCCAUAAAACUGAAAACAAGUUUCUGCUUCCCAUUCCACCACUGAAGAAGUGUUACUUAGUGAAGAAGUGUUAGACUAAAGAUUGCUUGGGAUUUCUUCUUAGAUACUAAAAAAUGUUCAUUGUAGACCAAAUUCAAAUGAAAGGGCAGUGAUUUGAAGUGAAAACUGAACACUGGCUGUUGCUCAGAGGCCAUUAAACAUAAGGUUUAUUAUCGUAAGUUACAGUGCUAUUGAGCAAUGCUUUGUUCACAGUAGUUUUGAAUCGCAAUCCACCGGAUAUCUGACUUCUGACUGACCAGUUAGCUAAGGGAUAUCUAAAGUCUCCUGUAAAACAGGCUGAAGUCUCAGUUCAGUGUUGCAAGAUGACAUACCUGACAACUGGCCAACCUAGGGAGGGGCAGCAGCUUUGAGAAAGACAUUUUUAUACUUGCCACUCCUUUAUCUUUGGUUUUCUUCACUUUACAUUGGUUUCUUUUUCUUCUGUAAAUACGUGCAUCUGAAUAUCACUAAAAUCUAAAAUCAGCGUGGGUCCAACCUGGUGAGAGGAACCUGAACAGUUAAUGUUAGGUAUUUGAUACCCUCUUGUGUGCUUCUAGCAAGAAAUUUGUUUUUCUGCCUGCAGUCUCCUAUUGAACUGCUGUCUUCUAUUCUGCUGACUUGAGCUGCAUCUUGACAGUGUAUCUUCCCCCAGUUUUAGUUCUCAACUUCAGUCGCUGCAGAGUUGUAAAUAUGUGUGUUAUCUAAUCAAGAAGAGUGAAAACCUACAUACCACAUGCCAAGGCUUAAAGAAGAAUAAAAUGCAUACUGUCUGGAGAUUUGUUUUCCAACCUUUAACUGCCUUUUUUUUUUUUUUGCAUCUUGAGAGAAAAGCACAACUCCUAGAAACUUAGCUAAGCAAAUUAACACCAGUUCUAUUGCGUUUCACUGCACUUAGAUCCAGCUGCAUCAAGAUUGCUUUUGGAUGUCACAGUUGUCGUAAGUAUUACAGUGAAUGCUACCACAAAGAUUUCUGUGGGUCUAGUGCACACAGUAUGCAGUAAAUCACUACUUCUCUUAGCAACCACUAUAGUGAUACUAACCGGAUUGAAUUCCUAUACUAUUCCUAAGGACAGACUAUUCUAAUCAUCAGUUCAGGUGGGAGAACUGAUACAGACAUUCAAAAUGAAAGUAAUCAGUACUGAAAAUGCAAUUUAUUGUGAAUCACUGUGUAUGUGUGACUGCUUACAAAAGUUUAAAUGCAUAUCUCUGGGAUGAAGGUAGAAGAAAUUAACCAUAUGCAAUUCUUGAAAAAUAAGCUGUUAAAAGCAUUUCUUACUGCUGUAAUUUCUUGAAGAUGAACCUUCUAAAUGACCAUGGAUCCAACAAAGUAUGAAGACUUAUAGCUAUUUAAUAUGAUACUCAGUGUCUUCCCUGUUGUGCUUUUUGAGUCUAUGGGAUGCAAGACAAUAUGGCAUUUUUCAACAGGAUUAAUAUAGCCUCUUUAUAAAUGAGGAAAUGCUGUAUUUCAUAAUGUGGUCAAAUCUGUUAAAAGAGUCUUAUAUCGUAAAACUACAUCAUCACUGUUUGCUCCAGUGUCCUCACAGUUCUGCUUUAGUUUCCCUACAUUCUCUAGCAUUUAUUAAUGUUGCCUUUAUACAAUACCGAAACAAAACACCAGCAUUUGUAUCAAUAAAAUGUUUUCAUUGACAUGUUGUUUCAAAAAUACUUUACAAAUAUAUUCUCAUCUUUAUACCCAAAAAGUCCUGUAAGGUGAAAACAGUACAUUGUAGUCCUUGAAGGUAGGCUCCUGUAUACUUCAAAAUCACUAACGCUUCAAAGCAGGAAAGAAUGAAAUGUUAAAUGUUCAUGAAACGAAGACAGUCACAGGACCUUAUUUCAAACUGCAAAUGGUACAGUAUCUGAUACCUAUCUUCUCUUCUGUUUUAGCAUACAAUCUGGAAUAAAGUGAAUUCCUGAAGUAGAGAUAAAUACAAAUACCAGUCCUGGAUCAUCCAAAUCACUUCAAAGUAGCAAGCACUGUGAAACAUUCUUUGUACUCGUUAGUGUGUGAAGAAACAAUCUUUUCUAUACAUAUUGAAGGUACAGUUAUUAGAUAUGUAUACCUUUUGCUCUGGAAUUAAAGAUACACAACCUAA